AGUGAACGCUGGCGGUAGGCCUAACACAUGCAAGUCGAACGGCAGCACAGGAGAGCUUGCUCUCUGGGUGGCGAGUGGCGGACGGGUGAGGAAUACAUCGGAAUCUACUCUGUCGUGGGGGAUAACGUAGGGAAACUUACGCUAAUACCGCAUACGACCUACGGGUGAAAGCAGGGGACCUUCGGGCCUUGCGCGAUUGAAUGAGCCGAUGUCGGAUUAGCUAGUUGGCGGGGUAAAGGCCCACCAAGGCGACGAUCCGUAGCUGGUCUGAGAGGAUGAUCCGCCACACUGGAACUGAGACACGGCCCAGACUCCUACGGGAGGUAGCAGUGGGGAAUAUUGGACAAUGGGCGCAAGCCUGAUCCAGCCAUACCGCGUGGGUGAAGAAGGCCUUCGGGUUGUAAAGCCCUUUUGUUGGGAAAGAAAUCCAGCUGGCUAAUACCCGGUUGGGAUGACGGUACCCAAAGAAUAAGCACCGGCUAACUUCGUGCCAGCCGCCGCAGUAA
rnacentral:rRNA from 1 species